ensembl:lncRNA
AUGUCAACCACGCGUUUUAAACGGUGCACUCAGUGUGCCGCUAAGAUUCCAGAUUCCGACGGCCACGCUAAGUGCCUUUUCUGCCUUGGCGAAAGCCACGUCGUCGGUACCUGCCGUUUUUGCCUGGCCUUUACAGCUCAGGCCAGAAGAAAUAGAGCUGCGAGACUCAGUGCAGCUCUUUACGAAAAAACUCUUGCUCCUGAGGCUUCCACUUCCACCUCGGCCUCGAUGGCGUCCAGGCCUGCUCCGUCGGUAUCAUCUAAAACCUCAAAAACUUCGAGACCGCGACCGACCAAACCGCCCUGCACGGUGUCCACCGCUACGGUAUCCACCCGGUCGGGCAAGAUGGGCCCUUCAUCAACUUCGAGUUCGGUGGCUUCGGCCAUUUCCACUCGAUCCCGCCUGGCUUCGCCGCCAUCUUCUUCCACCAUGAAGAUUGCCUUCAAGAGGGCUCAGGAGGAAUCCAGACGGGCUCAAUCUGACUCGGCAGCUGUGUGCCCGAUUCCCCUGACGCCGGGAAAAUCGCUGAGGGUCGCGUCGAAACAACCCCCAGCAAAGAAACGAAUGAUCCAGAGGUCGUCCUCCUCAGCGUCUUCGAAGAAGGACGUCCCCUCCUCUGGGCCUUCCUCUAGGAGAUCCUCUCCUAUCCAACCAGCACAACGCCUCCGCUCCUCUUCCUCUCCUCAUGGUCAGUCCUCGGAUGCGGACGCUCAAGCCUCCCCCGACCGGUCGGUCAGGACGGUUAUUAAGGCUCCCCAGCCAGCACCAUCUCGCCUUCCGGCUCGACAAGAACUUUUUCCCCCGGCUCAAACACCCGAGAGGGAUAGACAAAUGACGCGCUUAGCCCGUGCCGCCCAGGCUUCCGCGUCCAAGGGCGUCCGUCCACAGCCGGCUCCCCCUGCUCCUGAGGUGAUACCUCAUCAGGACUCUGUGCUUGUUUCUCCUCCCCGGUCCCCUCAAGGGCCCGAGGAGGAUGACCCCGAUAUCGAACGCCCCGAGUCGAUACUCUCCGCCUCCGUUGUCUCUCUCUGUCUCGACCUCUCCCCGCCUCACGACGCCUACGAGGUCAACCCACCUUCCCCGACGGAUAAUAUUCGGGCUUUCUCCGACCAGAUGGUCAGAAUGGCAGACGCUCUGGGGAUGGAAAUUAAACAAACUUCAAAGGCCGUUACCGACCCCGUUUUCAAGAGGGUUCAAGCCCAAGCCCCGCCAGCCACCUUGCUGCCUUUUCUUCCAUACCUCCUGGACGUCAUCCAGGCAUUUUGGAAGACUCCAUCUUCGAUACCUCCAACCUCUAAGAAAAUAGAGGCCUGGUACCGAACCGAUGACGAAGCCUUGGAAUGGCUCAAGCAUCACCCUGACCCAAACUCCAUGGUGGUAAAGGCCUCCCAAUCGUCGGGUCGACACUCCAACUCCCCUGCCGACAGAGAGGGCAAACGCUUCGAUGCGGUAGGCCGCAAGCUGUACUCCGGUGCUCUCCUCCUUUGCCGUAUGGCAAACUACGGGGCCUGCAUGGGCGCUUAUCAACAGAUCCUCUGGGAGAAAGCCCAACCCUUCUUCGCCAAGCUUUCUGACGAAGACCGGUCAGUCCUUUCGACCCUCCAACAGGAGGCGGACUCUCUCGCACACCACCAAAUUCAAAUGGCUAAGCAUACCGGUGAUACCGCCGGAAAAAUGAUUGCCCACGCGGUCGCGAUCAGACGGCAUGCAUGGCUUCGGUCCUCAGGACUCUCUUCUUCCUCUCGACAAGUGAUCGAAGACCUUCCUUUCGACACCCAGGGCCUUUUCAAUUCUGGCACUGAUGACAAACUUAAGUCCAAUCACGACUUCAAGAUUCUCGCAGCAAAGUGCGGGACCGAUCAACCUCAGGCUCAGCGGACCCGAUGGUUCCCACAACGGUACCGUCGCUACCCUCAGCCUUUUCGUCACCAGCCGUUUCGACGCUCGUCGAGCUCGAGUCACCACAGUCAUCAGCAACAACCUCGCCGCCAGCACCAGGUCCCAAAAGGUCGGGGCAAAGGUCCUGCAGCUAUGCCACAACCCCAACGACGGGCCUGA